rnacentral:rRNA from 1 species
UNAGGAUAUNCUAGUCCAACAUCGAGGUCACAACCCCCCCUUUCGAUUAGGGUCUCAAGAGAGAUUAUUCUGUUAUCCCUGCGGUAACUAAUUUUUUUAAUCAGCUAAGCUGGAUCAAAACUUAUUAGUAUACUUAAAUACAGGAAGCUUUUUUUGUUCCUUGGUCGCCCCAACCAAAAGUAUUAGUAGCUGUAAAUUUAAUUAAAAUAUAAUUGCUUCUACUUACCCUUCAAGCUCGACAGGG